CGCACAUUGCGCCCCUUGGUAUUCCAUGGGGCAUGCCUGUUCGAGCGUCAUUUGUACCUUCAAGCCUAGCUUGGUGUUGGGUGUUUGUCUUGCUACAGCAGAAGACUCGCCUUAAACUAAUUGGCAGCCAACGAUCAAGGUGGGAGCGCAGCACAUUUUGCAUUCCUGGUCUUGGUAGGUGGCAUCCAGCAAGUCUACAAAUCUCUCUCGUUUGACCUCGGAUCAGGUAGGGAUACCCGCUGAACUUAA
rnacentral:misc_RNA from 1 species